rnacentral:tRNA from 1 species
GCACGGAUAGCUCAGUUGGUAGAGCUCCUGAUUUACAUUCAGGCUGUCGGGGGUUCGAGUCCCUCUCCGUGUACCA